rnacentral:rRNA from 1 species
UGCAGUCGACGAGUUCUCGUUGAUGAUCGGUGCUUGCACCGAGAUUCAACAUGGAACGAGUGGCGGACGGGUGAGUAACACGUGGGUAACCUGCCCUUAAGUGGGGGAUAACAUUUGGAAACAGAUGCUAAUACCGCAUAGAUCCAAGAACCGCAUGGUUCUUGGCUGAAAGAUGGCGUAAGCUAUCGCUUUUGGAUGGACCCGCGGCGUAUUAGCUAGUUGGUGAGGUAAUGGCUCACCAAGGCGAUGAUACGUAGCCGAACUGAGAGGUUGAUCGGCCACAUUGGGACUGAGACACGGCCCAAACUCCUACGGGAGGCAGCAGUAGGGAAUCUUCCACAAUGGACGCAAGUCUGAUGGAGCAACGCCGCGUGAGUGAAGAAGGCUUUCGGGUCGUAAAACUCUGUUGUUGGAGAAGAAUGGUCGGCAGAGUAACUGUUGUCGGCGUGACGGUAUCCAACCAGAAAGCCACGGCUAACUACGUGCCAGCAGCCGCGGUAAUACGUAGGUGGCAAGCGUUAUCCGGAUUUAUUGGGCGUAAAGCGAGCGCAGGCGGUUUUUUAAGUCUGAUGUGAAAGCCCUCGGCUUAACCGAGGAAGCGCAUCGGAAACUGGGAAACUUGAGUGCAGAAGAGGACAGUGGAACUCCAUGUGUAGCGGUGAAAUGCGUAGAUAUAUGGAAGAACACCAGUGGCGAAGGCGGCUGUCUGGUCUGUAACUGACGCUGAGGCUCGAAAGCAUGGGUAGCGAACAGGAUUAGAUACCCUGGUAGUCCAUGCCGUAAACGAUGAAUGCUAGGUGUUGGAGGGUUUCCGCCCUUCAGUGCCGCAGCUAACGCAUUAAGCAUUCCGCCUGGGGAGUACGACCGCAAGGUUG